GACGAACGCUGGCGGCGUGCCUAAUACAUGCAAGUCGAACGCAGGGGGGACGGGUGAGUAACACGUGGGUAACCUCCCAUCAGAGGGGAUAACACUUGGAAACAGGUGCUAAACCGAUACUGAUGGAUGGACCCGCGGUGCAUUCGCUAGUGGGUGAGGUAGCGGCUCACCAAGGCCACGAUGCAUAGCCGACCUGAGAGGGUGGACAGCGACCUUGGGACUGAGACACGGCACAGACUCCUACGGGAGGCAGAAGGAGGGAAUCUUCGGCAAUGGCCGAAAGUCUGACAAAGCGAAGCCGCGUGAGUGAAGAAGGUUUUCGGAUCGUAAAGCACUGUGGUUAGAGAAGCGGUAUCUAACCAGAAAGCCACGGCUAACUACGUGCCAGCAGCCGCGGUAAUAC
rnacentral:rRNA from 1 species